rnacentral:rRNA from 1 species
UACGUAGGGGGCAAGCGUUGUCCGGAAUCAUUGGGCGUAAAGAGCGUGUAGGCGGUCCGGUAAGUCAGCUGUGAAAGUCCAGGGCUCAACCCUGGGAUGCCGGUCGAUACUGCCGGACUAGAGUUCGGAAGAGGCGAGUGGAAUUCCCGGUGUAGCGGUGAAAUGCGCAGAUAUCGGGAGGAACACCUAUGGCGAAGGCAGCUCGCUGGGACGUUACUGACGCUGAGACGCGAAAGCGUGGGGAGCGAACAGG